rnacentral:rRNA from 1 species
UACGUAGGGGGCUAGCGUUGUCCGGAAUCAUUGGGCGUAAAGCGCGCGUAGGCGGCCCAGUAAGUCCGUUGUAAAAGUCAAAGGCUCAACCUUUGAAAGCCGAUGGAUACUGCUGGGCUAGAGUCCGGAAGAGGCGAGUGGAAUUCCUGGUGUAGCGGUGGAAUGCGCAGAUAUCAGGAGGAACACCAGUGGCGAAGGCGCCGCUCUGGGCCGUGACUGACGCUGAAGAGCGAAAGCGUGGGUAGCAAACAGG